rnacentral:piRNA from 1 species
UACACAGGACGGCUCUGUCUUGCUCAGCACC